AGUGAACGCUGGCGGCGUGCUUAACACAUGCAAGUCGAACGGAUGAAAUUAAGCUUGCUUAUUUCGUUAGUGGCGCACGGGUGAGUAAUGUAUAGCUAACCUGCCCUUUAGUGGGGGACAACAGUUGGAAACGACUGCUAAUACCCCAUAUUCCUUCUUAUCAUAAGGUAAGUUGGGAAAGAUUUAUUGCUAAAGGAUGGGGCUUUAUGGUAUCAGCUAGUUGGUGGGGUAACGGCCUACCAAGGCUAUGACGCCUACCUGGUCUGAGAGGAUGAUCAGGCACACUGGAACUGAGACACGGUCCAGACUCCUACGGGAGGCAGCAGUGGGGAAUAUUGCACAAUGGAGGAAACUCUGAUGCAGCAACGCCGCGUGGAGGAUGACGCAUUUCGGUGUGUAAACUCCUUUUAUAAGGGAAGAUAAUGACGGUACCUUAUGAAUAAGCACCGGCUAACUCCGUG
rnacentral:rRNA from 1 species